rnacentral:rRNA from 1 species
GCCAGUAGUCAUAUGCUUGUCUCAAAGAUUAAGCCAUGCAUGUCUAAGUUCACACCCUUGUACGGUGAAACCGCGAAUGGCUCAUUAAAUCAGUCGAGGUUCCUUAGAUGAUCCAAAUUUACUUGGAUAACUGUGGUAAUUCUAGAGCUAAUACAUGCCAACCAGCUUCGACCCGACUCGCAAGGGCCGGGAAAGAGCGCUUUUAUUAGUUCAAAACCAGUCGGGUCCUCUCGUGGGGCCCGUCCAUUGGUGACUCUGGAUAACUUUGUGCCGAUCGCAUGGCCUCGAGCCGGCGACGCAUCUUUCAAAUGUCUGCCCUAUCAAAUGACGAUGGUACGUGAUCUGCCUACCAUGUUGGCAACGGGUAGCGGGGAAUCAGGGUUCGAUUCCGGAGAGG